GACAAAAACACUACAUUUGCAACACUUUUAGAAAAGGGAAUUGUGUGUAAAUCACAAACUGUCCCCGCAACUGUAAAUCACGCAAAAAAUUGUUUCGAAUAAAACCACUGGAAACGGGAAGGUGAAAACAAUGUGAAAGUCAGGAGACCUUGCUAAAAGCACGAUUAUUA
rnacentral:ncRNA from 2 species